AUAGUAGUGUCAGAGUUUGAUCCUGGCUCAGGAUGAACGCUAGCUAUAGGCUUAACACAUGCAAGUCGAGGGGCAGCAUAAUCGAAGCUUGCUUUGAUUGAUGGCGACCGGCGCACGGGUGAGUAACACGUAUCCAACCUUCCGGUUACUCGGGGAUAGGCUUUCGAAAGAAAGAUUAAUACCCGAUGUUGCGUAUCUUUCUCCUGAAAGAUACGCCAAAGGAUUCCGGUAACCGAUGGGGAUGCGUUCCAUUAGGCAGUUGGCGGGGUAACGGCCCACCAAACCUUCGAUGGAUAGGGGUUCUGAGAGGAAGGUCCCCCACAUUGGAACUGAGACACGGUCCAA
rnacentral:rRNA from 1 species